UACAGAGGGUGCGAACGUUGCUCGGAAUUACUGGGCGUAAAGCGCGUGUAGGCGGCGCGGUAAGUCGGGUGUGAAAUCUUGGAGCUUAACUCCGAAACUGCAUUCGAUACUGGCGUGCUUGAGGACGGGAGAGGAGACUGGAAUUCAUGGUGUAGCAGUGAAAUGCGUAGAGAUCAGGAGGAAGACCAGUGGCGAAGGCGGGUCUCUGGACAGUUCCUGACACUGAGACACGAAGGCCAGGGGAGCAAACGGG
rnacentral:rRNA from 1 species